rnacentral:rRNA from 1 species
UACGUAGGGUGCGAGCGUUGUCCGGAAUUAUUGGGCGUAAAGAGCUCGUAGGCGGUUUGUCGCGUCUGCUGUGAAAUCUGGGGGCUCAACCCCCAGCCUGCAGUGGGUACGGGCAGACUAGAGUGCGGUAGGGGAGAUUGGAAUUCCUGGUGUAGCGGUGAAAUGCGCAGAUAUCAGGAGGAACACCGGUGGCGAAGGCGGGUCUCUGGGCCGUAACUGACGCUGAGGAGCGAAAGCGUGGGGAGCGAACAGG